rnacentral:rRNA from 1 species
UGGGGAAUAUUGGACAAUGGGCGAAAGCCUGAUCCAGCAACGCCGCGUGAGGGAUGACGGCCUUCGGGUUGUAAACCUCUUUCAGCAGGGACGAAGCGCAAGUGACGGUACCUGCAGAAGAAGCACCGGCCAACUACGUGCCAGCAGCCGCGGUAAUACGUAGGGUGCGAGCGUUGUCCGGAAUUAUUGGGCGUAAAGGGCUCGUAGGCGGUUUGUCGCGUCGGGAGUGAAAACACGGGGCUUAACUCCGUGCCUGCUUCCGAUACGGGCAGACUAGAGGUAUGCAGGGGAGAAUGGAAUUCCUGGUGUAGCGGUGAAAUGCGCAGAUAUCAGGAGGAACACCGGUGGCGAAGGCGGUUCUCUGGGCAUUACCUGACGCUGAGGAGCGAAAGUGUGGGGAGCGAACA